rnacentral:rRNA from 1 species
CCUACGGGAGGCAGCAGUGAGGAAUAUUGGUCAAUGGACGAGAGUCUGAACCAGCCAAGUAGCGUGAAGGAUGACUGCCCUAUGGGUUGUAAACUUCUUUUAUAUGGGAAUAAAAUGUUCCACGUGUGGGCUUUUGUAUGUACCAUAUGAAUAAGGAUCGGCUAACUCCGUGCCAGCAGCCGCGGUAAUACGGAGGGUCCGAGCGUUAUCCGGAUUUAUUGGGUUUAAAGGGAGCGUAGGUGGAUUGUUAAGUCAGUUGUGAAAGUUUGCGGCUCAACUGUAAAAUUGCAGUUGAAACUGGCAGUCUUGAGUGCAGUAGAGGUGGGCGGAAUUCGUGGUGUAGCGGUGAAAUGCUUAGAUAUCACGAAGAACUCCGAUUGCGAAGGCAGCUCACUGGACUGCAACUGACACUGAGGCUCGAAAGUGUGGGUAUCAAACAGGAUUAGAUACCCUUGUAGUC